AUUGCUUUCUAUUGUGAAUGUAUUAUACAGUAUAUUUUAAAAUUUGAUUCUUUAUAGUGAUUACAAUUGGUUCACAUUAGAUUUCAUUGUUACAUAGACAAAUAAUAGAUUAACAUUUGAAUUCAUUGUUACUUUUGGAUUCAGCGUUCAAACCAUUGGUUUACAAUAGAAUGUAUCAGCUACAUUGAAAUGUACCGUUUUUCAAUGGUCUGAACGUUUAAAAAAACCCUGCUUUUAAGUAAUUUCGAAACAGUGUGUAUCAAUGACAGCCAAGUUUUUUUGUUAUCAGUUUGGUCGUCGGCGGUAAAAUUGUUCGAAGUGCAGGUUCGUCUGCGGAAAAUGUGGAAAAUUCACGCUCAACUGCGUGAAUUUUCCGCACGGGAGUUGAUAUAGGUGAAUCCAAAUGGUCCCCCAUUGUAGAGGCGCUGAGUGAGAUAAGGAGAAAAUCGUUUGUUUACAUAAAAAGGUCAAUUUUUGUCGUCAAAUUUUACUCAUUUUUUGCUCUAGAAGUUGCUGUUUUCCAUUUGCAAUGGCUUCCAUUAUCAUCAUUCUUGAUGCCCACUAGAGAUGGUCGGGUUUCGGGUUUUCAAACCCGAAACCCGACCCGAACCCGAACCCGACGGGUACGGGUCGGGUUCGGGCUUGGAAAUUUGAAAAAAGCUCGGGUACGGGUCGGGUCCGGGUUUAAACAAUUUCAAAAUUCUCGGGUACGGGUCGGGUCGGGUUUGAAUAAUGUCGGGUUCAAGUCGGGUUUGGUACCAAUGUAGAUAAAUCAGUAUUCAGAAAAAUGUUUUAUUUGUUGUAUCCGAUACAUUUAAUGAUUAUUAUUUAACUCGGGUUUCGGUCGGGUUUAUUGGCAAUUUUUUUUCGGGUUCGGGUCGGGUUCGGGUUUGAUCGACGAAAAUUUUUCGGGUUCGGGUCGGGUCCGGUUUGACGGAACAAAAAAUUCUCGGGUACGGGUCGGGUCCGGGUUUUGAAAUUGAAAAUUGUUCGGGUACGGGUCGGGUUCGGGUCUGAAACCCGACCAUCUCUAAUGCCCACGCCGACAGACACCGGAUUGGCCAGCUAACAAAAAAUCCGGAAGAUCGCCCGCCGGAGGCAUAGCAAGAGCUCCUCAAAUUAAUCACACAAAUUGUUUGUAAGUACCUACCGGAUCUAAGCGCAACUGAAAAAGAAUUUAAUUUUCUUUCCAAAAAGUGCUCGUUUGUUUCUCUACGAUGCGGAAUUCAAUAUGAAAAAGUGAAAAAAGUGCACUUUGCCUAUGCUGCGCCAUGUGAAAUUUUGGUGGAGCCCCGUUUUUCAUAGGGUUCUCAUUCCUGCCACCAGAUGCGGAGGGAUCGUUAGCUUCCGUUGGAUUUACCUAUAGUGUGCGGUGCAGUGUUAAAGCAUACAACAGUAGCAGCAUUUCAACAGCAGUCGCAAGGACAUGAAGCCUGUGCAGGAGCAGUUAGCUCACAGCUUGUUCGAUCGCCUUGCGGUCGAGGGAAUGCGCACGAUUAGGACUGAUCGCUGCAUGGACGAGAACUAGGAGCGCUGAGAAGAGAACGGGGAUGCGGAAUGCUGGAUCAAGCAACUUUGUGGUUUUAUUUUGAAAGCACCGAUCGAUUCAGUAGUUUCCGAGUCUAUUAGGGUCAGACAGACAGUCAUACAGUAGUAACUUAUUUGUAUAUAUUAAGAUAGAUAGAUGGAUACCAGGAUAGAUAGAUAAUUCAAUUUUACCAUUCUAA